rnacentral:rRNA from 1 species
GACGGGGGAUGCAAGCGGUCUCCGGGGCCACGGGGCGUAAAGCGUCUGUAGGUGGUGAUGCAAGUCACUGGUGCAAAACUCUGGCUCAACCGGAGGAAAGCCAGUGAAACUGCAUGACUAGAGUGUGGGAGAGGCAGAAGGAAUUCCCUGAGUAGCGGUGAAAGGCGUAGAUACAGGGAAGAACACCGGAGGCGAAAGCGUUCUACUGGAACACAACUGACACUGAGAGACGAAAGCUAGGGGAGCGAAGGGG